GGGGAUUUAGCUCAGUGGUAGAGCGCUUGCCUAGUAAGCGCAAGGCCCUGGAUUCAGUCCUCA
rnacentral:tRNA from 1 species